AACGAACGCUGGCGGCAGGCUUAACACAUGCAAGUCGAGCGCCCCGCAAGGGGAGCGGCAGACGGGUGAGUAACGCGUGGGAAUCUACCCAUCUCUACGGAAUAACGCAUGGAAACGUGUGCUAAUACCGUAUACGUCCUUCGGGAGAAAGAUUUAUCGGAGAUGGAUGAGCCCGCGUUGGUUUAGCUAGUUGGUGGGGUAAAGGCCUACCAAGGCGACGAUCCAUAGCUGGUCUGAGAGGAUGAUCAGCCACACUGAGACUGAGACACGGCCCAGACUCUUGCGGGAGGCAGCAAUGGGGAAUAUUGGACAAUGGGCGGAAUCCUGAUCCAGCCAGGCCGCGUGAGUGAUGAAGGCGCUAAGGUUGUAAAUCUCUUUCACCGGUGAAGAUAAUGACGGUAACCGGAGAAGAAGCCCCGGCUAACUUCGUGCCAGCCGCCGCAGUAACAC
rnacentral:rRNA from 1 species